ACCGGCUCUGACUUCGGCAGAAAAGGAAUUUUUUGAAAGCAUGUUUUCCUCUCUCUGCUUGUCUCCCACCUUGAGAUUCAAAACGUUGGGUGGGAGCAUCUGAUUUGCCGAACCAAGGCAAGUGUCAACAAACUCAGGGUUGGGCAGGAAAGCAGCUAGAAUCUGCCCUUUCUUGGCUUCUGUGUUGGGACGUGGGCUUUGCUAACCCUCAGACACGUACCACGGGAAACUCCCCAAUCUUGGGAACCGGGCUGUGGGUGUCAAGGUUUACCCAGAGCAGCUUUAUGGAAAGCCAACCCCUGCCUUAUAAUUUCAGGAGGGCGAGGAGGAGGGACCCUGGAGUGUAGCUUGUGGGCUCAGGACCUGUUUGAACGAGAGAGGGCAGCCAGCAUGGAGGGUUGGUGGCAGACAGGAUCAGGAACAAGAUGACAUGUUCUAAUCCUAAGGCGCUCAAAGGCUGGGAGGCAGGGACGUUGAUAUUCAGGGGACUUAGGAGAAAAUAAAACGAGAUAUUCGGCUUUAAUUCCGGGGCCUGCCAAAUUGCUUGGACAUAUUAGCUAAGGAUUUGGGAUCUGGUAUAUGGUGAUAGUGUAACAGGGGAGAUCAGAGAGGGGAAUUACAUUUUUCUUUCCAAGAAAAGUAGGUGUUCAGGAUUUUUGCUACUUUGAGUUUGUCAGUUUCUCUCCCAGCCUCCCCAGGAGCAUUAGCUGAAUUCAGAACUUCAGGAUUUUUCAAAAUCCAUCUGGCCCUCCUUAUUCAAUCUAUUUUCACAUCCAAAUGUCCUUUGUUUACGGAGUCCUCACUGCGUAACUGCCUGGCUGGAUUUCUAUCAUUAGAUAUUUAGUUGCACAGAUAAGUCACUAGAUGUUUCCAGAAAGCUGCUCUUCAGGUCAAAACCUCCUAGGCUCUCCAGGCAACUUAGGCCUGAGUUCCACGCCUACUGUCUUAGCUCAGAGCUUUCUCCAGUUGCCUUUCCAGUUUCUGUCCUUCACAGGGAACCACUUUUCCCAAAUAAAAGCCUUUUUUUGGAUUUU
rnacentral:lncRNA from 1 species